GGCCUCAAAUCAGACAAGAGUACCCGCUGAACUUAAGCAUAUCAAUAAGCGGAGGAAAAGAAACUAACAAGGAUUCCCCUAGUAACGGCGAGUGAAGCGGGAACAGCUCAAAUUUUAAAUCUGGCUGCUUUGUAGUCCGAGUUGUAAUUUGAAGGAGUCUUGCCGCUGGCAAAACGAUGGCACAAGUCCUCUGGAACGGGGCAUCGUAGAGGGUGAGAAUCCCGUCUCUGGUCAUCACGCGCUGGCAUACGGCAGGCAUCCGAAGAGUCGAGUUGUUCGGGAUUGCAGCUCCAAAUGGGUGGUAAACUCCAUCUAAGGCUAAAUAUUGGCGAGAGACCGAUAGCGAACAAGUACCGUGAGGGAAAGAUGAAAAGAACUUUGAAAAGAGAGUAAAACAGUACGUGAAAUUGUUGAAAGGGAAACGAUUGAAG
rnacentral:rRNA from 1 species